AUGGGAUGGACACCUGCUUGGGGGUUGGUGUCUGGGUCUGGCUUGUCUCCACCCUUGGGGGACCCAGCCUCCACCUUUAGCCCACCAUUUGUGUCAAUAGGGCCUAAGACCAAUGAAGACCACGAGAACCGCUCUUUCUGUGACGCGUUUCCUCACUCUGCCACAAAUUGCAACAGGGAACAUGAGAUAAAGAAGAGGAACCUCAACGGAAAGGACCAAGUUAAGGGUGGAUGUAAACAGCAGGUUUGCCACAAGAUAGUCUCAUGUGUAUGGCUGGAAAGAGGAAGCAAGAGAAGCCAUUUGUUAUGGGAACCAGAGCUGGAAGAUUUAAUGUUCGGAAGGAUGACUUGGUCACACUUUUGGUCACAGUGUAGCCUCUGUUUUCUGAUUUCAGGAUCAUAAUCUAGAAUCCAUGAAUUUAAGAAGUCAAUAACUUAAUAAAAUAAAACAAACUCAGCUGAAGUGGUGGUGA
rnacentral:lncRNA from 12 species